rnacentral:rRNA from 1 species
UACGAAGGGGGCUAGCGUUGCUCGGAAUCACUGGGCGUAAAGGGCGCGUAGGCGGACUCUUAAGUCGGGGGUGAAAGCCCAGGGCUCAACCCUGGAAUUGCCUUCGAUACUGAGAGUCUUGAGUUCGGAAGAGGUUGGUGGAACUGCGAGUGUAGAGGUGAAAUUCGUAGAUAUUCGCAAGAACACCAGUGGCGAAGGCGGCCAACUGGUCCGAUACUGACGCUGAGGCGCGAAAGCUAGGGGAGCAAACGGG